UAAACGUACGUACAAACUCUCUCCUUCCUUAGCUCUCCCCCACACGACACAACUUCCUCUCUUCUCUUUUCAUUAAUUUUGUGCUCUUUCUUUCAGACUCAAAGCACCAUCAAAAUUCAUCUGCGCAUGAAGUAGAGAAAAGUUAUAUCAUUCUCGGUCGUCAAUGGCUCAUUUUCUCUCAAGCUCCAGGUUGGCAAUACACUUGAGAGAGAGCUUGAUCAAUUCUAGAGUGUGCAAGUAUGUUGUUUUUACUUUGCUUCAUGUUAAUAUUACAUAAGUGACAUCACUUGAAUGAUGCAAGCAUGUUUGGUACAAAGGCAUUUCCCAUAAAGUGACUGCUCCACUGUUUGCACUAUUGGGUGUGUGCAGAGGAACAGUUGCAGUCACUUUACAGCUGUGGGGAGUUGACUGGUACUGUGAGCAAGGGAAUUGAUAUCGAUCUAUUCUCUCUAAUAUUUCUUGGACUCUGAAUGUUGGAACAUGUCCCAAACUUGAGACUUGUUGAUCUUUGAGCACUCAGAGAAUGUGGAACAGGUUCCUCAUCUGGUUCUCAACAAAGUUCUUAAAUCAUCAAAAUAUAGCAAGACACAUAACUUAUCAAUUUACCCAUUUUUGAUAAUGACAAACUUGUAAUUGAAAUUCUCUCUCA